UCCUAAUGGACAGGAUGUUUCAGUUACAUCAUGUCAUGUUCUUUUUUGCAUUUGAAAGAUACGACUAAAUGCAACCUCGAAGGUAGACACUAGAUUUGGAGAUGUCUGUACUGGGUGACAAAACUAGUUACAGUACCAGCUGCUGCUGCUGCUGCUUGUCUUCCAUCACAAAAAACACUUUUUAUUCGAUCAGUAGAUCCAUCCAUCCUCUCCCAUGUGCUCUGUCCAUCAGUCACCAAAUCCACUGAUGAACUUGUGUUGCAACAACAAUGUCUUGUUCACAGAGUUCACUUACCUGCAAAGUCGAUGACUCGGAACUUGAUUUCGGUAAACUUCCUCAUUUCCUUUACCUCAAUUCAACUAGUCUUCUUUAACUCAACUUUUGUAGGAAUUAUGAUUCUUGUUACUAAACUAAACCUUAGUUUCCAGAACAUUACUACGAUUCUUGUCACCAAACCAAACCAAUGUGAAGAGUAGAUCCUAGCUACCUCAUAUAUGCUUGCUUCCAUGCAACAAUAUAAUUUUUCUCUGCAGCCAACAGUAAACAGAUAAAUGAUUGCCUGCAACUGACGACGGCACUGAUCAAAUCACAUGCAGAAAGAAAGAAUCUGUGAGGCCUGUUGUAAUCGUAGUAAAAUUAUGCAUCUCUCUCUUCUUAAAUAGAAAUUUUUUCCUUUUCUAUCUAUACUUACCAUGAGAAGAGAAGAUCAAUAGAAUAUGGAAACAUGAUCAGGAUCAUCAGUUAUAAUUUAUAACCGUGAGAACAGAACAGAGCAGAACCUACAACUGUGCAACUUCAAACACAUAUGGAACAGUUAGAAAAGAACAUAUGAAAAUUAUAUGCUAACUUCAGGACGGAAGAAAAUUAUAACUUGAAAAGAACUAACCUAGUUCAUCUGUGUGAGAAAAUUUCCUGUUUUUCCAGAUAUCUGUUCAUCUCUUCGGGGAUCGUCAGAAACUCUUGGGUUUGUAAAUUCAGCAUACUUUAGGUGGGCGUGUCUUCCGAGAUAGCAAAUAUGAUUUUUAUAUGUAUGUAUCACCAUUAAUUCCCCGAGUUCCUUGAGAGUCGAGAUGGGUAAUCCAGAAACAGCAAGUGUUCUGCUCAGUUAUUUGGAGCUUUCUGCAGAAGAAAAUGCUAACAUCUUCAUGAUGCAUCUCAUUGUACAGAAUCCUUGCACAAGUGGUCCGCUCUGUAUCAGGAACGUGAUGUUACUUUAAUUAGACCCAGCCCAUCUAUAAGGGUUUGGGCCUGUCCCUCUAGUAAUGUAUUGUUUACACUCCGUCUUAAUUGCACCAUAUACAACUCAAGAUUUAAAAAUCUUUUACACUGGCUACUAAAUUUAUUUUAGUACACCCGGUAUUAUUAAAGUUCAGUUUUAAUUUUACCGACUAUCAUUCCGUUAAAAUACUUGACGGAAGUCGGAUAUGGACAGAUCUGCUGUUAUCCAGUCUGACUGUUCUUCCCCAUCUCCUCUUCUUCAAUCCUCUAACGAGCAAAAAAUUGCAUUCAGUUUUAGAGUUUUUUAUAGUGUCGGAGUUUUAGAUUAAUAUACCAGUAGCAACAUCUCCAUUAUUGUAAUCAGAUUGGUGUUUGAUUAAGACCAUCCCGCUCUAGCAGGGGAUUCGACAUGCUGCAACUAAGAAAAUCAAAAUGGGAUUUUUAUUUUUACACAGUAAAUAUAAAAGCUUGGAGUCAAAUUUGAAACUUUUUUGGGGGGCAGAAUCAAUAAUGUCUCAUUCAUUUACUUCUGUUCCAUGACAUUCUAUUUCUUCUUAGCUAAAAUAGACCUAAAAAGUGUUCAUGAAUCGGGCCGAAUCAGCACAAAGAGAAUCUCCCAAAACAAAGAAGAUUAGAGCCCCAAGUCCCCAACGGAAUUCAUAGAUUAUCAGAGCAGAGUUUGCAGUAUCUACCUUAUCCGCUUUCUCAAACCCUUCCAUUCUAUUUCCCAAAAUCACUCCUCGUCUCAAUCGUCACAGUUAGCUAAUCACUCUCCCCCGCCGGUGGAAACCAUCGGCGUUGCCGUACAAUGGCGACCAGCUAAGCCUCUCCGUCCAGUUCACUCGUUUCCUCAUCCCCAAACGAAUCCGUCAAUACCAUACAAUCCGAUUCCCAAUAUAUAGAUCCGAAAAGGAAGAGACCGAUGAUGUCUGCGACGACAGACCACCUGGAUUUCUCUACCUGAUGCGGAAUCCGUUCGUCGAAAUUCAGGAAACCGAUCAGAGGCUCGAUUUAGGGUUCAUGGGUCGUACCCUGUUUCCAGGUUUAAGUUGAGGAAGAAGAGUCGAGGAACAGAGGAAGGAAGAUGGAGAGGAAGAAGAAAGGUGUUGGGAUUUUAAUUAAAAAUAAAUGUGACAUGGAUAAUGGUUGAUCUGUCCACAUCAGAUUUUCGUCAAGGAUUUUAACGAAAUAGUAAUCGGUGAAACUGAAACUAAACUUUAAUGGUACACAGUGUAUUAAAAAAAAUUUAAUGGCAAAUGUAUUUUUUUUUUAAAUGUUGAGUGAUAUAUGGUGUAAUUAAGUCGUUUACACUCCUCUAGGCCUAAUUGGCAGGGCAUGAUCUUCCUCCAGGUCAUUCUGAAAAUGAACCUUGCUGGUCAUCUGUUCGAGGGUCUUGAUUGUUGGGAGGCCUCGGCGUUGAAGAAAUGAUGAAGCACCUCAAGCUUCUUCCUUUUGUCUCCUGUGGCUGGCCUAAUCCCGCUUAUGAAAGCAUGGUCUGGGAUGAUCCUUUAAUCAAUGGUUACCCAUUCCAAUAUUUCUCUUGAAUUGUAUCCAUUAACAUCUUAAAUGCCGAUGAAAUCUCGUCUAGUGUAUAUGAUGGUCUCGCUCUCUCUGUAUUUGUUGAUGAAUGGCUAGC
rnacentral:lncRNA from 1 species